GGUAUAGCUCAGUGGUAGAGUGCAUGCCUAGCAUGCCCGAGGUCCUGGGUUCAAUCCCCAGAACUACCA
rnacentral:tRNA from 1 species